AGACGCAGGCGAUUACAACUGUACUCCGCACAACUCUGCUUUCUUUGAGGAAGGUCGCAAGUCCCCCUAUGGAGAGUUUUUUCUUGAUUGGUACUCCAGAGCUCUCAUUGAGCAUGGCGACAAUCUUCUGACGGUAGCGAGGCAUGCGCUGGGCAACACAAAACUUGCUGUUAAGGUGACUUUCUCUACUAACUCAGCUCGAAAUGAUUUUCAUCAAUUCCAGCACAUUUGGAUAAUAAUCCGAGGAUAGUUAAGUCUUUCAUUAGUGUAAUUCCUGAAGGAUUUAGUCGGUACGUGACCUAGCCUUGAUACUUAACUUAAUUGAAAGGUUUUUCACCACAAUGAGAUAUACUGCUAAAGCAGUUUACCUUCCCCGUUUCCUGCGAUGAUUAUUUUUCACGAAUUUUUAUUUCAAUUUCUAUUCUUCUGCCCUUGAAAGGUUU
rnacentral:lncRNA from 1 species